GACGAACGCUGGCGGCGUGCCUAAUACAUGCAAGUAGAACGCUGAAGAGAGGAGCUUGCUCUUCUUGGAUGAGUUGCGCACGGGUGAGUAACGCGUAGGUAACCUGCCUGGUAGCGGGGGAUAACUAUUGGAAACGAUAGCUAAUACCGCAUAAAAUUGAUUAUUGCGUGAUAAUUAAUUGAAAGAUGCAACUGCAUCACUACCAGAUGGACCUGCGUUGUAUUAGCUAGUUGGUGAGGUAACGGCUCACCAAGGCGACGAUACAUAGCCGACCUGAGAGGGUGAGCGGCCACCCUGGGACGGUGACACGGCCCAGACUCCUACGGGAGGCAGCAGUAGGGGAUCUUCGGCAAUGGGGGGAACCCUGACCGAGCAACGCCGCGUGAGGGAAGAAGGUUGUCGGAUCGUAAAGCUCUGUUGUAAGAGAAGAACGGGUGUGAGAGUGGAAAGUUCACACUGUGACGGUAUCUUACCAGAAAGGGACGGCUAACUACGUG
rnacentral:rRNA from 1 species